UACGGGGGGGGCAAGCGUUGUUCGGAAUUACUGGGCGUAAAGGGCGCGUAGGCGGCCCGCUAAGUCAGACGUGAAAUCCCUCGGCUCAACCGGGGAACUGCGUCUGAUACUGGAUGGCUUGAGUUUGGGAGAGGGAUGCGGAAUUCCAGGUGUAGCGGUGAAAUGCGUAGAUAUCUGGAGGAACACCGGUGGCGAAGGCGGCAUCCUGGACCAACACUGACACUGAGGAGCGAAAGCCAGGGGAGCAAACGGG
rnacentral:rRNA from 1 species